rnacentral:rRNA from 1 species
GACGAACGCUGGCGGCGUGCUUAACACAUGCAAGUCGAACGAUGAACCGGAGCUUGCUCUGGGGAUUAGUGGCGAACGGGUGAGUAACACGUGGGCAACCUGCCCCAGACACCGGGAUAACCAUUCGAAAGGAUGGCUAAUACCGGAUACGACCACUUCGGGCAUCCGAUGGUGGUGGAAAGGAUUCUGGUCUGGGAUGGGCCCGCGGCCUAUCGGCUUGUUGGUAGGGUAAUGGCCUACCAAGGCGACGACGGGUAGCCGGCCUGAGAGGGCGACCGGUCACACUGGGACUGAGACACGGCCCAGACUCCCACGGGAGGCAGCAGUGGGGAAUAUUGCGCAAUGGGCGAAAGCCUGACGCAGCGACGCCGCGUGAGGGACGAAGGUCUUCGGAUUGUAAACCUCUUUCAGCAGGGAUGAAGCGAAAGUGACAGUACCUGCAGAAGAAGCACCGGCUAACUACGUGCCAGCAGCCGCAGUAAAAC